rnacentral:rRNA from 2 species
UUAAGCGACUAAGCGUACACGGUGGAUGCCUAGGCAGUCAGAGGCGAUGAAGGGCGUGCUAAUCUGCGAUAAGCGUCGGUAAGCUGAUAUGAAGCGUUAUACCCGACGAUACCCGAAUGGGGAAACCCAGUGUGUUUCGACACACUAUCAUUAUGUGAAUACAUAGCGUAAUGAGGCGAACCGGGGGAACUGAAACAUCUCAGUACCCCGAGGAAAAGAAAUCAACCGAGAUUCCCCUAGUAGCGGCGAGCGAACGGGGAGGAGCCCAGAACCUGAAUCAGUUUGUGUGUUAGUGGAAGCGUCUGGAAAGUCGCACAGUAAAGGGUGAUAGUCCCGUACACAAAAAUGCACAAAUUGUGAGUUCGAUGAGUAGGGCGGGACACGUGACAUCCUGUCUGAAUAUGGGGGGACCAUCCUCCAAGGCUAAAUACUCCUGACUGACCGAUAGUGAACCAGUACCGUGAGGGAAAGGCGAAAAGAACCCCGGCGAGGGGAGUGAAAUAGAACCUGAAACCGUGUACGUACAAGCAGUGGGAGCCUUGAUUAAUCAGGGUGACUGCGUACCUUUUGUAUAAUGGGUCAGCGACUUAUAUUCUGUAGCAAGGUUAACCGUAUAGGGGAGCCGUAGGGAAACCGAGUCUUAACUGGGCGUUAAGUUGCAGGGUAUAGACCCGAAACCCGGUGAUCUAGCCAUGGGCAGGUUGAAGGUUGGGUAACACUAACUGGAGGACCGAACCGACUAAUGUUGAAAAAUUAGCGGAUGACUUGUGGCUGGGGGUGAAAGGCCAAUCAAACCGGGAGAUAGCUGGUUCUCCCCGAAAGCUAUUUAGGUAGCGCCUCGUGAAUUCAUCUUCGGGGGUAGAGCACUGUUUCGGCUAGGGGGUCAUCCCGACUUACCAACCCGAUGCAAACUACGAAUACCGAAGAAUGUUAUCACGGGAGACACACGGCGGGUGCUAACGUUCGUCGUGAAGAGGGAAACAACCCAGACCGCCAGCUAAGGUCCCAAAGUCAUGGUUAAGUGGGAAACGAUGUGGGAAGGCACAGACAGCCAGGAUGUUGGCUUAGAAGCAGCCAUCAUUUAAAGAAAGCGUAAUAGCUCACUGGUCGAGUCGGCCUGCGCGGAAGAUGUAACGGGGCUAAACCAUGCACCGAAGCUGCGGCAGCGACACUUAGGUGUUGUUGGGUAGGGGAGCGUUCUGUAAGCCGUCGAAGGUGACCUGUGAGGGUUGCUGGAGGUAUCAGAAGUGCGAAUGCUGACAUAAGUAACGAUAAUGCGGGUGAAAAACCCGCACGCCGGAAGACCAAGGGUUCCUGUCCAACGUUAAUCGGGGCAGGGUGAGUCGACCCCUAAGGCGAGGCUGAAAAGCGUAGUCGAUGGGAAACAGGUUAAUAUUCCUGUACUCGGUGUUACUGCGAAGGGGGGACGGAGAAAGCUAGGUUAUCCGGGCGACGGUUGUCCCGGUUUAAGCGUGAAGGUGGAUGACUUUGGUAAAUCCGGGUCGUCAUUAACACUGAGGCGUGAUGACGAGUCACUACGGUGAUGAAGUAACCAAUGCUACGCUUCCAGGAAAAGCCUCUAAGCUCCAGGUAACAUCAAAUCGUACCCCAAACCGACACAGGUGGUCAGGUAGAGAAUACUCAGGCGCUUGAGAGAACUCGGGUGAAGGAACUAGGCAAAAUGGUGCCGUAACUUCGGGAGAAGGCACGCUGAUGGUAGGUGAAGUGACUUGCUCACGGAGCUGAAAUCAGUCGAAGAUACCAGCUGGCUGCAACUGUUUAAUAAAAACACAGCACUGUGCAAACACGAAAGUGGACGUAUACGGUGUGACGCCUGCCCGGUGCCGGAAGGUUAAUUGAUGGGGUCAGCCGCAAGGCGAAGCUCUUGAUCGAAGCCCCGGUAAACGGCGGCCGUAACUAUAACGGUCCUAAGGUAGCGAAAUUCCUUGUCGGGUAAGUUCCGACCUGCACGAAUGGCGUAAUGAUGGCCAGGCUGUCUCCACCCGAGACUCAGUGAAAUUGAACUCGCUGUGAAGAUGCAGUGUACCCGCGGCAAGACGGAAAGACCCCGUGAACCUUUACUAUAGCUUGACACUGAACCUUGAGCCUUGAUGUGUAGGAUAGGUGGGAGGCUUUGAAGCGUGGACGCCAGUCUGCGUGGAGCCAACCUUGAAAUACCACCCUUUAAUGUUUGAUGUUCUAACGUGGGCCCGUGAUCCGGGUUGCGGACAGUGUCUGGUGGGUAGUUUGACUGGGGCGGUCUCCUCCCAAAGCGUAACGGAGGAGCACGAAGGUUAGCUAAUCCUGGUCGGACAUCAGGAGGUUAGUGCAAAGGCAUAAGCUAGCUUGACUGCGAGAGUGACAGCUCGAGCAGGUGCGAAAGCAGGUCUUAGUGAUCCGGUGGUUCUGAAUGGAAGGGCCAUCGCUCAACGGAUAAAAGGUACUCCGGGGAUAACAGGCUGAUACCGCCCAAGAGUUCAUAUCGACGGCGGUGUUUGGCACCUCGAUGUCGGCUCAUCACAUCCUGGGGCUGAAGUAGGUCCCAAGGGUAUGGCUGUUCGCCAUUUAAAGUGGUACGCGAGCUGGGUUUAGAACGUCGUGAGACAGUUCGGUCCCUAUCUGCCGUGGGCGUUGGAAGAUUGAGAGGGGUUGCUCCUAGUACGAGAGGACCGGAGUGAACGCACCACUGGUGUUCGGGUUGUGAUGCCAAUUGCAUUGCCCGGUAGCUAAGUGCGGAAGAGAUAACCGCUGAAAGCAUCUAAGCGGGAAACUUGCCUCGAGAUGAGUCUUCCCUGGGCACUAGAUGCCCCUGAAGGGCCGUUGAAGACUACGACGUAGAUAGGCUGGGUGUGUAAGCGUAGCGAUACGUUGAGCUAACCAGUACUAAUGACCCGAGAGGCUUAACCUU